AUCACUGACCACUGGCCACUACGGCACCCCAUACACCUCCCUGCUUAAGCUAGUUCACGUGCUCGCGACAUCGCUGCUAUAAAAUCACCCGCGGCCACCGUCGGCAGACCGGGGCGGGAGGGGUGUUCCCCUCCUGGUCUCCUCGACCUCUUCUAUCCAAGCUCGGCAGCGACAUCUACGGCUUUGUUACGGCAUGUCGGGGGCAGAUGUUCUCUGGUCGGCCUCUCACCGGGCGUCCGGCCGGUGAUACAUAGCCUAGCUACUACUGGUCUGAAGGAUAUAGAUCAGAACUGUUCGAUAUCCAGACAGCGGGUGGCGGGGCGGUAGGCUCUGCAUUGGCCGGUACCGGAGGCGAUCGGAGAGGCCGCGCCAUCGGUCGCCAAGCUAGGAUAGAGGAAGAAAAAUAGGUCAUGUGUAGCAGCUUCUGUUUAUUUACUUUUUGUUUCCGUUAAUUGAUUCAUUGGUGCGCACCCUCCUUCUGCAAUUUACGCAUGGCGUUGAGAUC